UACGUAGGGGGCUAGCGUUGUCCGGAAUCAUUGGGCGUAAAGAGCGUGUAGGCUGCUCGGUAAGUCCGCUGUAAAAGUCAAAGGCUCAACCUUUGAAUGUCAGUGGAUACUGCCGGGCUAGAGUCCCGGAAGAGGCGAGUGGAACUCCUGGUGUAGCGGUGAAAUGCGCAGAUAUCAGGAAGAACACCGGUGGCGAAGGCGGGUCUC
rnacentral:rRNA from 1 species